GACGAACGCUGGCGGCGUGCUUAACACAUGCAAGUCGAACGGAAAGGCCCCUUUGGGGGUACUCGAGUGGCGCACGGGUGAGUAACACGUGAGUAACCUGCCCUUGACUUCGGGAUAACUUCAGGAAACUGGGGCUAAUACCGGAUAGGAAUCCUUGCUGCAUGGUGGGGGUUGGAAAGCUUCGGCGGUUUUGGAUGGACUCGCGGCUUAUCAGCUUGUUGGUGGGGUAGUGGCUUACCAAGGCUUUGACGGGUAGCCGGCCUGAGAGGGCGACCGGCCACAUUGGGACUGAGAUACGGCCCAGACUCCUACGGGAGGCAGCAGUGGGGAAUAUUGCACAAUGGGCGGAAGCCGGAUGCAGCAACGCCGCGUGCGGGAUGACGGCCUUCGGGUUGGAAACCGCUUUCAGCAGGGGCGAAGCUUGUGGUGACGGUACCUGCAGAAGAAGCACCGGCUAACUACGUG
rnacentral:rRNA from 1 species